AUGGGGCGCGGGAAGGUGGAGAUGAAGAGGAUCGACAACAAAGCGUCGCGGCAGGUCACCUUCCACAAGCGCCGCCGCGGGCUGCUGAAGAAGGCGCAGGAGCUCGCCGCGCUCUGCGACGCGCACCUCGGCGUCCUCGUCUUCGACGGCACCGGCAAGCUCCACCACGACUACUGCAGCCCCCAUACCAGGUCUGUCCCAAAUAAAUUUUGUCAUUCCCGCUAUGAAGUCAACGUUGUGUAUACACAACCAAGAACCAAAAUAUAUUUUCCGUUAAAAAUAGCAUCAACACUGCAUUCAUGUUCAGAGUGGACGCGACCUCUCACUAGCGUCAGCAUUGAACAGACUCGCCGGCCGCGUCACACAAAAGUUAUGCUUAACAACAUUUAUGCACGGCUCCCUCGACGGUGCCGCUCGUACACCUUGGCCUCGGGUAGUAUCGGGCUAUCGGGAGAGAAUGUGUCCGGAUUGUGA
rnacentral:rRNA from 1 species